rnacentral:tRNA from 1 species
ACCCAGGUGGCUCAGCUGGUUGAGCAUCUGAUUACAGCUCAGGUCAUGAUCUCCUGGUUCCUGGGUU